rnacentral:sRNA from 18 species
ACCUGUCGCGGACGGCUGUGCGAGCCGGGUCGCGGCACAAGACAGAAACACCGUGCCACGGAACAACGUGGCACUUCAGGGCGUU